AGCUUGCUGGUGAUGGGCCUCAUCGCCUGCCACUGUAUGCACAUCCUAGUCAGAUGUGCCCAGCGCUUCUGUCACAGACUCAACAAGCCUUUCAUGGACUAUGGGGACACAGUGAUGCACGGACUGGCUUCCAGUCCCAGCGCCUGGCUGCAAAGCCACGCCCACUGGGGGAGGCAUGUGGUGAGCUUCUUCCUCAUUGUCACCCAGCUCGGCUUCUGCUGUGUGUACAUUGUGUUUCUGGCGGACAAUUUAAAACAGGUAGUAGAAGCUGUUAACAGCACAACCAUCAGCUGUCAUGAGAACGAGACGGUAGUUCUGACACCCACCAUGGACUCUCGACUCUACAUGCUCGCCUUCCUGCCCGUUCUGGGGCUUCUGGUAUUCAUCAGGAACCUCCGUGUCCUCACCAUCUUCUCCCUGUUGGCCAACAUCAGUAUGCUGGUCAGCCUGGUCAUCAUUGCCCAGUACAUUAUCCAGGGAAUUCCAGACCCCAGCCAGUUGCCACUGGUAGCAAGCUGGAAGACCUACCCGCUCUUCUUUGGAACAGCCAUCUUUUCAUUCGAAAGCAUCGGCGUGGUCCUGCCUCUGGAAAACAAGAUGAAGGAUGCCCGCCGCUUCCCAACCAUUCUGUCUUUGGGGAUGUCCAUCAUCACCACCCUGUACAUUGCCAUUGGGGCUCUGGGCUACCUGCGGUUUGGAGAUGACAUCAAAGCCAGCAUCACUCUUAACCUGCCCAACUGCUGGCUGUACCAGUCAGUCAAGCUCCUGUAUGUCGUCGGCAUCCUGUGUACUUAUGCCCUGCAGUUCUACGUCCCUGCGGAAAUCAUCAUCCCCCUUGCUGUCUCCCAGGUGUCAAAGCGCUGGGCACUGCCCGUGGACCUGUCCAUCCGGCUCGCCAUGGUCUGCCUCACAUGCACGCUGGCCAUCCUCAUCCCCCGCCUGGAUCUGGUCCUCUCCCUGGUGGGCUCUGUGAGCAGCAGCGCCCUGGCCCUCAUCAUCCCGCCCCUGCUGGAGGUGACCACCUACUAUGGAGAGGGCAUGAGCCCCAUGACCAUCAUCAAGGACGCCCUCAUCAGCAUCCUGGGCUUCGUGGGCUUCGUGGUGGGGACCUACCAGGCCCUGGAUGAGCUGAUCAAAUCCGGGAACUCUCUCCCCCUGUCCAACUCCACCAUGUUUAUUCAGUGACAAAGCCUCUCCUCGCCCACGGUGACUUACGUUGUCUAUGUAUCUUUUCAUUUCGCCUUUUCUCUGGUCCAAGGCACGAAAAAUAGGUGUGGCAUAUCCCCAACCACCGUGUGUGUGCGCGCACAAAGGAGAUGGGAGCCAUCUACAGCACAUACGAGGUGUAGAUAGAUGGUCAUUAAAAACAAAAAAUGCCGGUCGUUCUCUAGUUUUACACACUGUGGAAACCGCCAUCUUGUUUUUGUCAUUUAUCUGCUAAUUUCAUACCUUGAGUGGAGUCAUGCAAAAAAUAGCCACUAGGGGGAAGCAAGCGCCAGCUUUUGGCAGAAGAUGGUCUCUGCUUGCUCAAGCUUCGGUCAUUUCCUUUUCCUGACCAUGAUGGGGAACUUUGUGCUCUCGUCAGCAUCAAGAUGGAGGGGGCCAGGGCCAGUCACAAUACUCAGGGGGAUCUCUCCAGGCUCCCUUUCUGCCUUAGGGAUCUGAGAACAUGAAGUGAAACGGAACACAACAUCGUGCCCAGUCUCCUGGAGGACAGGGGACCAUAUGGAAUAGAAAUGACUCAUCCUUAUUGAAUGCCACACCAAGAUCAACCAGCCUGUUUCUAGACACGUGUGCGAAGCCAUUUGAACAACGUCUACAGUAAAGUUGACCAGAUCAUAA